AUUGAACGCUGGCUGCAGGCCUAACACAUGCAAGUCGAGCGAGCGGCGGACGGGUGAGUAAUGUAUGGGGAUCUGCCUGAUUGCGGGGGAUAACUACUGGAAACGGUAGCUAAUACCGCAUACCAUCAGAUGAACCCAUAUGGGAUUAGCUAGUAGGUAAGGUAACGGCUUACCUAGGCGACGAUCCCUAGCUGGUCUGAGAGGAUGAUCAGCCACAAGGGGAGUGAGACACGGCCCAGACUCCUGCGGGAGGAAGCAGGGGGGAAGAUUGAACAAUGGGCGCAAGACUGAUGCAGCGACGCCGAGUGGGGGAUGAAGGCUGUCGGGUUGUAAACCUCUUUAGAUAUAGAAAGGGUAGGUGGAGAAGAAGCGCCGGCUAACUACGUGCCAGCAGCCGCGGUAAUAC
rnacentral:rRNA from 1 species